rnacentral:misc_RNA from 1 species
AACGCAUAUUGCGCUCUCUGGUAUUCCGGAGAGCAUGCUUGUUUGAGUAUCAGUAAACACCUCAACUCCCCUUUCUUUUUUGAAAUGGGAGCUGGACUUGAGUGAUCCCAACGCUUUUCUCACCGAAAAGUGGCGGGUUACUUGAAAUGCAGGUGCAGCUGGACUUUUCUCUGAGCUAAAAGCAUAUCUAUUUAGUCUGCCUAAAAAACAGAUUAUUACUUUGCUGCAGCUAACAUAAAGGAGAUUAGUUCUUGUGCUGACUGAUGCAGGAUUCACAGAGACAGCUUCGGCUAGCUUUGUAAACUCGAUCUCAAAUCAAGUAAGACUACCCGCUGAACUUAA